rnacentral:rRNA from 1 species
AUGUUCUUCAUUUUAGAUAAUGAAACCAUUCCAUUACUACCAACCCACAGAAAUACGACCUCUCUGAGAUAUACGGUUUAUGCCGGAAAGGUACGAAGUUGGACUAAUUUGGAAACAUUGGGCAAUUUAGUUUAUACCUACUAUUCCGUCUGGUUUUUCGUUUCUAGUCUGAUUUUAUUAGUUGCUAUGAUUGGGGCUAUAGUACUUACUAUGCAUAGGACUACAAAGGUGAAAGAACAGGAUGUAUUCUGGCGAAAUGCCUUGGAUUCUAGGAGCCAUAUAAUGAGCAGGACUAUUUCUCCUUUUGGCCAUCUCCAUAGAAGAAGCUUCUGCUCCAAAGUGGAGGGAGGGGAAUCUAUGGAUUCCUAUAACCCUACUUAUAUCGAAUUUUUAAGACAACAUUUAGGGUUUUUUUCCCGCGUUUGGUACCAAAUCUGGAUAAACUCCUUUUGGUUCUUAAACCGGAGGAAAUUCUCUUUCUGGCUUUCCGCUUCUCGCGGGAUGUGA